rnacentral:siRNA from 1 species
UACAAGGUUUUUACGAUUUUACC